rnacentral:siRNA from 1 species
UACACCAAGAGGUCUGGGGUUCGA